rnacentral:rRNA from 1 species
GAUGAACGCUGGCGGUAUGCCUUACACAUGCGAGUCGUACGAGAGUUUUUAACUCAAGUGGCGGACGGGUGAGUAACACGUAAGAAUUUACCUUUAGGAGGGGGAUAACAACUGGAAACGGUUGCUAAUACCCCAUAUGCUUUCGAGUGAAAUGGGUUUCCGCCUAAAGAAAAGCUUGCGGCUGAUUAGCUUGUUGGUGAGGUAAUGGCUCACCAAGGCGACGAUCAGUAUCUGGUUUGAGAGGAUGAUCAGACACACUGGAACUGAGACACGGCCCAGACUCCUACGGGAGGCAGCAGUGGGGAAUCUUGCGCAAUGGGCGAAAGCCUGACGCAGCCAUGCCGCGUGAAUGAUGAAGGUCUUAGGAUUGUAAAAUUCUUUUACCAGGGACGAUAAUGACGGUACCUGGAGAAAAAGCCCCGGCUAACUUCGUGCCAGCCGCCGCCGUAAGAC